rnacentral:lncRNA from 1 species
CACACAUUCCUCCAGUAGCUCCCAGUUCCUCCCAGUGCCUCCCAGUACCUCCCAGUGCCUCGCAGUUUCUCCUAGUACUUUGCCAGUACCUCCCAGUAUCCUCCCAAUGCCUCUCAGUACCACUGAGUAUUUCCCAGUGCUUCCCAGUACCACCCAGUAUCCUCCCAGUGCUUCGCAGUAUGUCCCAGUACAUCCCAGUAUCUCCCAGUGCCUGCCAGUAUCCACCCAGUGCCUUCCAGUGCCUCCUAGUAUCCUCCCAGUACAUCCCAGUAUCCUCCCAGUGCCCCCCAGUACCUCCCAGUACCUCCCAGUAUCCUCCCAGUGCCUCCCAGUGCCACCCAGUAUCUCCCAGUACCUCCCAGUAUCCUCCCAGUGCUUUCCAGUGCCUCCCAGUAUCCUCCCAGUACAUCCCAGUAUUCUCCCAGUGCCCCCCAGUGCUUCCCAAUGGGGGAAACUGAGGCACGGAUAUCUCCAGUUCCUCCCAGUACCUCCCAGUUACUCCCAGUGGCCCCCACAGCCCUCCCAGUUUCUCCCAGUUCCUCCCAGUGCCUCCCAGUACCCCCCAGUGCCUCCCAAUCACUCCCAGUAUCUCCCAGAGACUCCCAGUACAUCUCAGUAUCCACCAGUAUCUCCCAGUGCCCCCCCAGCGCCCUCCCGGUACCUCCCAGUGCCUCCCAGUCUCUCCCAGUGCUUCCCCAGUUCUUCCCAGUAUCUCCCAGUACCUCCCAGUUCUUCCCAGUUCCAGUGCCCUCCCACUCCCUCCCAGUAUCUCCCAGUGCCCCCCCCACAGCGCCCUCCCAGUCCCUUCCAGUCCCUCCCAGUAUCUCCCAGUGCCCCCCCCAGUUCCUCCCAGUCCCNCAAAUUCCCUUUUUAUUUGGCCCCAAAUCCCCAUUUUCGCCCCCAAAAUCUGCUCUUUUGGCCCCAAAUCUGCCCUGGUGUCCCCAAAUUUCCCCUUUUUAACCCUAAAUCCCCCCCCCCCAGUGUCCCCAAAUCCACUUUUUGGUCCUCCAGGUCCUCCCUUUGUCCCCAAAAUCCCCUUUUUUGGCCCCAAAAAUCCCCUCUCAUUGGCAUCCCCCAUAGUGGGCUCCCGUAAUGCUCCUAAUAGGGGCGCACUGCGGUGGCCCAAUGAAUGGGGAGGUCCCGUACUGUAAUGCUCCUAAUACAGGGGGCUCUGCUCCCGUAAUGCUCCUAAUACAAGGGCUCGUAGCAGCGCCUGGCUCCCGUACUUCUCCUAAUAGAAGCACUUGGCUCCUGUAUUUCCCCUAAUAGCAGCAGCUGGAAGUGUUCCCCCUAACAGUGGCGCGUAGUUGCCGUAUUCUUCCUAAUAGCAGGACCUGAGUCCCGAAUUCCUCCUAAUAGCAGCUUCUGGGUCCCGUAUUCCCUAGAAUAGCAGCAUCUGAGUCCCGUAUUCCCUAUAAUAGCAGCACCUAAGUCCCGUAUUCUUCCUAAUAGCAGCAUUUGAGUCCUGUAUUCCUCCUAACAGCAGCGCUUUUGGUACUGUAUUCAUUGUAAUAGCAGCACCUCUUAUAUCAAAUUCUUACUAAUGGCUGCACCCAGGUCCCGUAUUCCUCCUAAUAGCAGCACCCGGGGCCCAUAUUUUUCAUAAUAGCAGUACCUGUGUUCUGUAUUCUCCCUAAUAGCAGCACCCAAGACCCGUAGUUGCUGUAAUAGCAGCACUUUAAGUACCGCGUUUUCUCUAAUAGUAGCAUUUUUUAUACCGUAAUGCUCCUAAUAGCAGCACCUGAUUCCCAUAUUCCCCUUAAGGGCAACACCCAGGUGUCAUAUUCCCCCUAAUAGCAGGACCUGCAUCCCGUAUUCCCCCUAAUAGCUGCACCUUUUAUACGCCACUCUUCUAGUAGCACCCUUAAGCACCGUAUUCCUCCUAAUAGCAGCGCCUAUGUCCUGUAUUCUCCCUAAUAGCAGCACCCAAAUCCCAUAGUCCUUGUAAUAGUAGCAUUUUUCUUACCACAUUUUCUGUAAUAGCAUGUUUUAUACUGUAAUGCUCCUAAUAGCAGCACCCGAGUCCCAUAUUCCCGUUUAUGGCAGCACCCAGGUGCCAUAUUCCCCCUAACAGCAGGAGCUGGGUCCCGUAU